rnacentral:rRNA from 1 species
GACGAACGCUGGCGGCGUGCCUAAUACAUGCAAGUAGAACGCUGAAGAGAGGAGCUUGCUCUUCUUUGGUGAGUUGCGCACGGGUGAGUAACGCGUAGGUAACCUGCCUUGUAGCGGGGGAUAACUAGUGGACACGAUAGCUAAUACCGCAUAACAAUGUAUGACACAUGUCAUUUAUUUGAAAGGGGCAAUUGCUCCACUACAAGAUGGACCUGCGUUGUAUUAGCUUGUAGGUGAGGUAAUGGCUCACCUAGGCGACGAUGCAUAGCCGCCCUGAGAGGGUGAGCGGCCAGACUGGGACGGUGACAGGGCACAGACUGAUACAGGAGGCAGCAAGAGGGAAUCGUCGGGCAUGGGUGCAAACCUGAGCGAGAAACGCCGAGUGAGGGAAGAAGGUUGUCGGAUCGGAAAGCUCGGUUGUAAGUCAAGAAAGGGUGUGAGCGUGGAAAGUUCACACUGUGACGGUAGCUUACCAGAAAGGGACGGCUAACUACGUG